rnacentral:rRNA from 1 species
AUGAUCACUAAUGCUCAAAAAAAUAAAAUGCUGGUAGGUCUGGCGCAUGAUCUCAUCCCAAAUGGAGUUGCGGUGCUCCAAUACGCGGAUGAUACUAUUAUCUGCUUGGAUCAUGAUGUGGAUAAGACAGUGAACCUGAAGUUACUGCUUUACACUUUUGAGCUUAUGUCUGGGCUUAAAGUCAAUUACCAAAAGAGUGAGAUCUUUACCGUGGGUGGGGAUGACAACACUGUUAAAUACUACGCUGAGUUGUUUAACUAUGACAUGGGCAGUUUUACUUUUCAAUAUCUUGGUAUGCCCGUUAGCUAUACUUUCCUUAGAGACUCAGACUGGGAUUUCAUUGUGGCUAAAUACCUCAAGAGGUUUGAGGCUUGGAUUGGUAAUGCUGCCUCCAUGGGGGGAAGACUUACCCUAUUGGAUUCGGUUGUGACACAAAUCUCACUGUACCAUAUGUCUAUGUGGUUAAUGAGCAAAACCUUCAUUGAAAAACUUGACAAGCACAGAAGAAAAUUCUUUUGGCAAGGGUGUAACAAGAAGAAAUGA